UACGUAGGGCGCAAGCGUUGUCCGGAAUUAUUGGGCGUAAAGAGCUCGUAGGCGGCUUGUCACGUCGGUUGUGAAAGCCCGGGGCUUAACCCCGGGUCUGCAGUCGAUACGGGCUAGCUAGAGUGUGGUAGGGGAGAUCGGAAUUCCUGGUGUAGCGGUGAAAUGCGCAGAUAUCAGGAGGAACACCGGUGGCGAAGGCGGAUCUCUGGGCCAUUACUGACGCUGAGGAGCGAAAGCGUGGGGAG
rnacentral:rRNA from 1 species